UACGGGGGGAGCAAGCGUUGUUCGGAUUUACUGGGCGUAAAGGGCGCGUAGGCGGCGCAACAAGUCACUUGUGAAAUCUCCGGGCUUAACCCGGAAAGGUCAAUCGAUACUGCAGGGCUAGAGUGCGGAAGGGGCAACUGGAAUUCUCGGUGUAGCGGUGAAAUGCGUAGAUAUCGAGAGGAACACCUGCGGCGAAGGCGGGUUGCUGGGCCGACACUGACGCUGACAGCGCGAAAGCUAGGGGAGCGAACGGG
rnacentral:rRNA from 1 species